GAGGGUAUAGGCCUUUUGUCUGGCUGGCAGCCAGAAGGUCAGGGGUUCGAGCCCCCUAUCCUCCA
rnacentral:tRNA from 1 species